GGGGUCAUGUAAGGUAAGCAGCUCAGCUUAUCCUUGACUGCUCUUUUCUGCUGUGCAGACUACGCUGGAGACAUUCAACAGAACACUUACCCCAUGUUUUCCUUAUGCCAGAUCUAUCCAUCUGUUGCGCACACUUUCAGCCUUGUCUUAUAUUUUGAUUACAAACUAAUCAGUGCUGGGAUUGUUUCUUUUUAGAGGAUUUAUAGCACCUGCCGUGGCACAGCUCUGAUCCCUAUAAGGAUAAGGGAGUCUCAGACAUAGAACCAUCACCCAAAAAGUAAUAAAAGGCUGAAAAGUUUGGCUCCUGAGAUUUUUUGUGCUUCCUGAUUAGAGCAGGAGUGGUUUCCUUGCGGUGCUUUGAUAGUUUUGCUCCCAGCACAACUCACAACCAGGAAGUACAAGAAUGCAGUGCAAUGACAGCCAGAAUUUGCAGAACAGCUCAGCAUGCACAAUCAGAAGCAGAUUUGCAAAGGAGCUCAGCUCUCAUUUAGGCACCAAAAUCAGUACCUAGAUUUUCUAAAGUGCCAAGCUGGCGGGCUGCAGAACUCUUUAGCAAAUCCAGCCCUCAUGGCAGCUUCUGAGCAUGAGGAUCUGGCUCAGUUCUUCAGGAUGAAAUGGAACCAGAGCUAUGUGAUGAGUCUCUCCUGGACUUGGUGGAUUACACUGCAGCCUGGAAAUCUACAAGACCGGAAGAGUUAAUAUCCCCCUGUUCUUUGCGACAUCAUGGUUUGUGUCCCUGUGCAAUUAUAUUUGCUAUUCUCUCACAUCCAUUUAGACAAUCCAGACCAGGAACAGAAUCAGUAUUUCCAUUUUAUGGGCAGGAGUACAGCGUGUGGAAUCCAGGGCAGAAAGAAAUUUCAGAAGUCACUGUGCUCCCCUGAGGAUAAAUCAUGUAAUUGUGUCUUUCAGCUUCUCCAGACUUUGAUCUUGGGAGAGAUCAAACAGGGUCAGGCCAUGGAUAGCAGAUUUUGAAUGAAAACCCAGACAGGGUUUUGUGACGUGGAGAUGAUGUGGAGAGGUGAGGAGCACAGCAUGCAGUAUUCCCCCUCGGCAGAUAUUACUAAGUACUUGAAAAUACAUACAAAUACUGUUCCAUUGCUGAAAGGUGAAGGGUCCCACUCUUGACUUGGAAAUCAAAUUAAGGUCUGACCAGUCCUCCUCAUGAAAGUCUGCUGGGCAAAACUUGGCACUUAAGGCUUGCUUUCUAAUUUUAGUUUCAGUUCUGACUCAGAACACGAAUUUUGAUAAUUGUCUGCAUCUUCCUCAAAGAAACUGAGCUUUUACUCUCCUGCUUUGUGGAACUGGACUCUUUGAAUGUGCGGUGUAGAGCUGGAGGUUGUAUAAGUUAUGGACAUCACUCACUUUAUGACACUUAAUAACUCAAGGUGAAGCCUAUAUAUAAUAUAACUUUAUAGCACAGUCCCUGAAGAUGUUUCAGAAACAUGUGGAUGUGGUACUUAUAAGGGACGUGGGUUAGUGGGCAAUAUUGGUGGUAGAGGAAUGACUGCACUUAGGUCUUUUCCAACGUUAAUGAUUUUAUGAUUCCAUGAUUCUAAUCUAUUCUUAACAUUCUGUGACAUAGGGAAAAGUCUUUAUCCCAAUUCCCAUUGUAAAAAUUUAAAUACGAAUGCAUAUAUUAUGGGAAACAUUGCCUACUCUAAAGGUUUUCUGACU
rnacentral:lncRNA from 1 species